AUUGAACGCUGGCGGCAGGCCUAACACAUGCAAGUCGAGCGGUAGAGAGGUGCUUGCACCUCUUGAGAGCGGCGGACGGGUGAGUAAUGCCUAGGAAUCUGCCUGGUAGUGGGGGAUAACGUCCGGAAACGGACGCUAAUACCGCAUACGUCCUACGGGAGAAUGCAGGGGACCUUCGGGCCUUGCGCUAGCAGAUGAGCCUAGGUCGGAUUAGCUAGUUGGUGAGGUAAUGGCUCACCAAGGCGACGAUCCGUAACUGGUCUGAGAGGAUGAUCAGUCACACUGGAACUGAGACACGGUCCAGACUCCUACGGGAGGCAGCAGUGGGGAAUAUUGGACAAUGGGCGAAAGCCUGAUCCAGCCAUGCCGCGUGUGUGAAGAAGGUCUUCGGAUUGUAAAGCACUUUAAGUUGGGAGGAAGGGUUGUAGAUUAAUACUCUGCAAUUUUGACGUUACCGACAGAAUAAGCACCGGCUAACUCUGUGCCAGCCGCCGCAGUAAGAC
rnacentral:rRNA from 1 species